rnacentral:rRNA from 1 species
CCUACGGGCGGCAGCAGUGAGGAAUAUUGGUCAAUGGGCGUAAGCCUGAACCAGCCAAGUCGCGUGAGGGAUGAAGGUUCUAUGGAUCGUAAACCUCUUUUAUAAGGGAAUAAAGUGUGGGACGUGUCCUGUUUUGUAUGUACCUUAUGAAUAGGGAUCGGCUAACUCCGUGCCAGCAGCCGCGGUAAUACGGAGGAUCCGAGCGUUAUCCGGAUUUAUUGGGUUUAAAGGGUGCGUAGGCGGCCUUUUACGUCAGCGGUGAAAGUCUGUGGCUCAACCAUAGAAUUGCCGUUGAAACUGGGAGGCUUGAGUAUGUUUGAGGCAGGCGGAAUGCGUGGUGUAGCGGUGAAAUGCUUAGAUAUCACGCAGAACCCCGAUUGCGAAGGCAGCCUGCCAAGCCAUGACUGACGCUGAUGCACGAAAGCGUGGGGAUCAAACAGGAUUAGAUACCCCAGUAGUC